UGAGGAAUAUUGGUCAAUGGGCGCAAGCCUGAACCAGCCAAGUAGCGUGAGGGAAGACUGCCCUACGGGUUGUAAACCUCUUUUGUUUGGGAAUAAAGUGCGGGACGUGUCCCGCAUUGCAUGUACCAUUUGAAUAAGGACCGGCUAAUUCCGUGCCAGCAGCCGCGGUAAUACGGAAGGUCCGGGCGUUAUCCGGAUUUAUUGGGUUUAAAGGGAGCGUAGGCCGUCUGUUAAGCGUGUUGUGAAAUGUCGGGGCUCAACCUGGGCAUUGCAGCGCGAACUGGCAGACUUGAGUGCGCAGGAAGUAGGCGGAAUUCGUCGUGUAGCGGUGAAAUGCUUAGAUAUGACGAAGAACUCCGAUUGCGAAGGCAGCCUGCUGUAGCGUAACUGACGCUGAAGCUCGAAAGCGU
rnacentral:rRNA from 1 species